rnacentral:rRNA from 1 species
UACGUAGGGGGCAAGCGUUGUCCGGAAUCAUUGGGCGUAAAGCGCGUGUAGGCGGCUAGAUAAGUCUGCUCUGAAAGCCCGGGGCUCAACCCCGGGAGGCGGGUGGAUACUGUCUAGCUCGAGUCCGGAAGAGGAGUGUGGAAUUCCUGGUGUAGCGGUGAAAUGCGCAGAUAUCAGGAGGAACACCAAUGGCGAAGGCAGCACUCUGGGCCGAUACUGACACUGAGGAGCGAAAGCGUGGGGAGCGAACAGG